rnacentral:rRNA from 1 species
UGAKUAACGUUCCUGGCUCAGAAUCAACGCUGGCGGCGUGCCUAACACMMGCAAGUCGAACGAGAAAGUGGAGCAAUCCAUGAGUAAAGUGGCGACCGGGUGAGUAACACGUGACUAACCUACCUUCGAGUGGGGGAUAACCUCGGGAAACCGGGGCUAAUACCGCAUAACAUCCUUUUGGAGUGGAAACUCUGGGGAUCAAAGGAGCAAUUCGCUGGAAGAGGGGGUCGCGGCUGAUUAGCUAGUUGGCGGGGUAACGGCCCACCAAGGCUUUGAUCGGUAGCCGGCCUGAGAGGGCGCACGGCCACACUGGAACUGAAACACGGUCCAGACUCCUACGGGAGGCAGCAGUGGGGAAUUUUGYGCAAUGGGGGAAACCCUGACGCAGCAACGCCGCGUGGAGGAUGAAGUCCCUUGGGACGUAAACUCCUUUCGACCGGGACGAUAAUGACGGUACCGGUGGAAGAAGCCUCGGCUAACUUCGUGCCAGCAGCCGCGGUAAUACGAGGGGGGCAAGCGUUGUUCGGAAUUAUUGGGCGUAAAGGGCGCGUAGGCGGUGCGGUAAGUCACCUGUGAAAUCUCCGGGCUUAACUC